rnacentral:rRNA from 1 species
UACGGAGGGGGCAAGCGUUGUCCGGACUCACUGGGCGUAAAGGGCGCGUAGGCGGCCUUCUAAGUCGAACGUGAAAUCCCCGGGCUCAACCCGGGAACUGCGUCCGAUACUGGAAGGCUUGAAUCCGGGAGAGGGAUGCGGAAUUCCAGGUGUAGCGGUGAAAUGCGUAGAUAUCUGGAGGAACACCGGUGGCGAAGGCGGCAUCCUGGACCGGCAUUGACGCUGAGGCGCGAAAGCCAGGGGAGCAAACGGG